rnacentral:rRNA from 1 species
UGAGGAAUAUUGGUCAAUGGACGAGAGUCUGAACCAGCCAAGUAGCGUGAAGGAUGACUGCCCUAUGGGUUGUAAACUUCUUUUAUACGGGAAUAAAGUUAGCCACGUGUGGCUUUUUGUAUGUACCGUAUGAAUAAGGAUCGACUAACUCCGUGCCAGCAGCCGCGGUAAUACGGAGGAUCCGAGCGUUAUCCGGAUUUAUUGGGUUUAAAGGGAGCGUAGGCGGGUUGUUAAGUCAGUUGUGAAAGUUUGCGGCUCAACCGUAAAAUUGCAGUUGAUACUGGCGACCUUGAGUGCAACAGAGGUAGGCGGAAUUCGUGGUGUAGCGGUGAAAUGCUUAGAUAUCACGAAGAACUCCGAUUGCGAAGGCAGCUUACUGGAUUGUAACUGACGCUGAUGCUCGAAAGUGUGGGUAUCAAACAGGAUUAGAUACCCUGGUAGUCCACACAGUAAACGAUGAAUACUCGCUGUUGGCGAUAUACGGUCAGCGGCCAAGCGAAAGCAUUAAGUAUUCCACCUGGGGAGUACGCCGGCAACGGUGAAACUCAAAGGAAUUGACGGGGGCCCGCACAAGCGGAGGAACAUGUGGUUUAAUUCGAUGAUACGCGAGGAACCUUACCCGGGCUUAAAUUGCAACUGACUGAACCGGAAACGGUUCUUUCUUCGGACAGUUGUGAAGGUGCUGCAUGGUUGUCGUCAGCUCGUGCCGUGAGGUGUCGGCUUAAGUGCCAUAACGAGCGCAACCCUUAUCGAUAGUUACUAGCAGGUCAUGCUGAGGACUCUAUUGAGACUGCCGUCGUAAGAUGUGAGGAAGGUGGGGAUGACGUCAAAUCAGCACGGCCCUUACGUCCGGGGCUACACACGUGUUACAAUGGGGGGUACAGAAGGCAGCUACACGGCGACGUGGUGCUAAUCCCGAAAGCCUCUCUCAGUUCGGAUUGGAGUCUGCAACCCGACUCCAUGAAGCUGGAUUCGCUAGUAAUCGCGCAUCAGCCACGGCGCGGUGAAUACGUUCCC